AUUGAGGCUUGGAGAGGCUGAGGAGGACCCCUUUUCUGAAGGAACCAGAGAGGCUACUUUGAAAAGCUGAGAAGACAUCACCUGGUUUUGGUUUCUAGGCAUUUCCGCCUGUGCUAUAAUGUCUUAAUUCAGAGAUGAGGCUUCAUUACUAUUCUGAGGACUUACUAUUUCUGGGUAUAUCAGAAGAUUCCCACUUGGAAGCCAUACUAUUGCCAUCAGUGACCAGUGUCCUUGGAAGAUGAUAGUUUAUGAACUCCUGUUUCCAGGAGGAGAAAAGGACACUGAAAUAUCAGAAAGGGGUGAUCUGAACAGGAGUACAAGG
ensembl:lncRNA